rnacentral:lncRNA from 1 species
UUUUUGCUAGCUAAACACCACUUGAAGGUACCUGGAAAUACACUACUUGCUGAAGCUGCACAUCCUACGCCUCGGGAGGAGGCCAAAUGCAUAUUCCGAUCAUGUGAUCUAAAUACUAAAGCUUCCUUGCUGGAUCUAAGGUUUAAUUUCUCUGCCCCAAUGCUGGUUCUUAGGGUAAUACAAGUUCUACUCCAUAUUUUUGAUGCCCUCCACAUAAAUCCAUCACUCUCUUGUUGCCUUGAAGCAUACUUCCGUAGCAGCCGGAGCUGAACAUUUAGAGAGAUCAUACUGUAGCAAGCUUGCUUUCCAGGGACCUGGUGUUUCUGCAAACCCAACGAUAGGCGUGUUUGAAAAAAAAGGUCAGUUCGUGUUGCAAUUUCAUGAAAACUUGCUUAUGCGGUGUUAUUGCACUGGUACAAAAAAUGUCAUGGUCUUUUUCUUCCUGUUUAAAUCGCCACCUACCUAUGAAUUACGACUCUGGGCAUGGCAGAAUGUCACCAUAAUUUUUGUUCAGCAACUAGAUUUCAUCCCAAGACGUGCCAUCUCUCUAAUUUGACUCUGAGCAUGUAAUACAGUUAGUUAAUCAUGUGGGUUGGUCUUGUGUCUUCCAGCUGCAAUUGAAUUAGUCUAAGCAAUUGAGGUCCUACUAAUUAAUUAAGCUGGCUAUUUGCUUGCUUCUUGUACCUACGGCAUGCUCUCUGAUUUUUUUUAUCGCAGUAUGCAAGCUUCUAAGCGCCGGAUUGAUGUCGUACUAACAAAUUAAGGUGGUUGAUUACUUGCUUUUUUCCCCUCAGUAUUGCAAGCUUUACUGUGAAUUAAAAGGAAUUAAAAGGAUGAAGCCAGUAUGCCUACAUUUGAUUCACUGAUGUUCAAAUUAACUGCAGUAGCUAUUUUUCCUACAACUUCAUUGAAAGUUCCUUUGCCGUAUCUAAUUAUCUAAAGUUUUCCUUGUACCAUUUUCCAUGAGAUUAUUGUAAUUGGGAAUACCAGUGCUUGUUUGAAUCAUUUAGUUAAUUAAUUUUGUAGAUAAAACUUGUAUUUGUAUGUUUUAGAAUUACUAUUAUCCUGGUAAAAUGACCACAAGUGAAAGGGUUGUAAAGAUUAAUUAUUCUUUGUGAAAGCAUUAUUGGUCUAAUUAAUAGAUGUACAUGCAUCAAUAAUGUUGUUGAGCUUUAGUUGAUUCUAUAGUGUCGUACUAUUCGCAAAGUUCUAUUUUGAGAAAAAAUAGCAAAUUCAAUAUUGUGGCAGCUAAAUGGUGCGCCCGCUGUAGCAAGUGAGUGCCCAUCGAAAUCACCCUGAGCAUAUUUGCGCUGAUUUUCAUGAUUGCUCUUCUGCCAGCAACAAUGUUCCUCGCACUUCGACCACACAACUGUAUGUUCAUGUUCCAGAGUCCUUAUUCAUAGUUAAUUUCAAUCACAAAGUGACAAAUGCCAGUCUAUUAGUUAACAUGUAUAUCUCCGUUUCUUCUAAGUUUCAAUCAACCUACUCUGAAGUUGUUCCUAAGACAGUGCCUCAAGCAAAGGGAAUGAGCCUCAGUUAGUGUAUCUAGCGAGUUCGCGAUCCUUUGUUGGGAUAAACAUUUGUGCAAGAGCAAGUCUCGUCACUGUUGGUUGUUAGUACUGUUGCUUGAUAAUUCUAAUUUUUACUUCAGUUCAUAAGGCAAUGUAGUUAUGCUUGACGCACGAUAUGAAGACUGCCAUUUUGCCUUUUGACCUUGGUUUCUUCCUCCAGUAAGUAAAUGCACAUAGUUCUUUUCUAAAUUAGAGCAUAUGACUUGUUGAUCGAUCUCUGAGCUUAGUAAUAAUAUUAAGCCUUAAUCCGUUUAUUGUGCAGACAAGAUGAGAAAGAAAUGCUACCCAAGAAUAUGUACUUUAUAAACAUUUCAACUGUAAUCUGGAAUAAAAUUAAAUAAAUAAGGAAACAGUAUAUUCAUAUAUCUUUUUUGUACUUUGAUGGUUUCACACCACAAGUUCCUAGAUGGUAAUUGUGCUGCAUAUGUCUGCUCUCUUACUUUGUUUUUCUGAACAGGUAGGUUCCGGAAGAUGUCAUGAAGAAUUUCUUUGAGAGAAUUUGCGUGAGGUGUGCCUAAAUGAUUUUUAUCUUCUGAACAUAUUCUUGUAUGACGAACUGAAUUCAUUUUCUCAAAACGUUGGUACUUUUCCUUUUUCAUUUAUGUUGCUCGACUGAGUCUCUCUCGGAUCAUGUAAACUCCACAUGCUAGCUGAUCUGUAGCAGUGCGGAAGGUGAGCUUGGCUGCCGGCAGCAGCUCCUUUGGCUGAUCUGCAGCGAUGCAGAAGUUGGGUUGGAAAAAAGCACGACCGGCUGCUCUGAAGUGGGUCGUAGGGAGAGCUUCGUAAGAGAUAGGGAGGGAGCUCUAUUGGCCCGUGCAUGACAUCCAACCCAAUGGCAUCAUGCCCUGGUAAGCUUCUUAUCUGUUCCAAUUCUUGCACUUGGUCUUUUUCUUUCUAACCCUGAAAAUAGAGUUUGCCUUGAUUCCUAAUCAUGCUUUAAAAGCUGAUAUCCACCUUGUUUAUCUUGCUACUGGUGGUAAUGUGUGCAAGUAUGAUUUUGUGAUAAUGUGAGAUGUUGUGUGCCUUCUUUAUUCAUGGUACGAGUACUCUAACCUGGCUCGUAUGAUAAUGUAUCCCUGCUACAGAGCACAAACGGCUGAAGGAAAUAUGCUGUAGAGGCAAUAAUAAAGUUAUUAUUUAUUUCCUUAUAUAUCAUGAUAAAUGUUUAUUAUUCAUGCUAGAAUUGUAUUAACCGGAAACAUAAUACAUGUGUGAAUACAUAGACAAACAUAGUGUCACUAGUAUGCCUCUACUUGACUAGCUCGUUGAAUCAAAGAUGGUUAAGUUUUCUAGCCAUAGACAUGAGUUGUCAUUUGAUUAAUGGGAUCACAUCAUUAGGAGAAUGAUGUGAUUGACUUGACCCAUUCCGUUAACUUAGCACUUGAUCGUUUAGUAUGUUGCUAUUACUUUCUUCAUGACUUAUACAAAAUUCCUACAAUUAUGAGAUUGUGCAACUCCCGUUUACCGGAGGAACAUUUUGUGUGCUACCAAACGUCACAACGUAACUGGGUGAUUAUAAAGGUGCUCUACAGGUGUCUCCAAAGGUACAUGUUGAGUUGGCAUAAUUCGAGAUUAGGUUUUGUCACUCCGAUUGUCGAAGAGGUAUCUCUGGGCCCUCUCGGCAAUACUUAUCACUUAAGCCUUGCAAGCAUUGUAACUAAUGAGUUAGUUACGAAAUGAUGUAUUACGGAACGAGUAAAGAGACUUGUCGGCAACGAGAUUGAACUAGGUGUUGGAUACCGACGAUCGAAUCUCGGGCAAGUAACAUACCGAUGACAAAAGGAACAACGUAUGUUGUUAUGCGGUUUGACCGAUAAAGAUCUUCGUAGAAUAUGUAGGAGCCAAUAUGAACAUCCAGAUUCCACUAUUGGUUAUUGGCCGGAAACAGUUCUAGGUCAUGUCUACAUAUUUCUCGAACCCGUAGGGUCCGCACGCUUAACGUUACGAUGACAGUUAUAUUAUGAGUUUUGAUGUACCGAAGGAGUUUGGAGUCCCUGAUGAGAUCGGGGACAUGAUGAGGAGUCUCGAAAUGGUCGAGACGUAAAGAUCGAUAUAUUGGACGACUAUAUUCGGGCUUCGGAAAGUUUCCGAGUGAUUCGGGUAUUUCUUGGAGUACCGGAGAGUUACGGGAAUUCGCCGGGAGAAGUAUUGGGCCUUAUUGGGCCAUACGGGGAAGAGAGAGGGGCUGCCUAGGGCAGGCCGCGCGCCCCCCCAAGGCCUAGUCCGAAUUGGACUAGGGGGAGGGGCCGCAACCCUCCUUCCUUCCCUUCUCUCUUCCCUUUCCUUCUCUCUUACUCCUACUACAUGGAAGGUCUCCUAGUUGGACUAGGAAAGGAGGGAGUCUUACUCCCGGUGGGAGUGAGUAGGACUCCUCCCUGGUGCGCCCUCCCUUGGCCGGCCGCCCCCUCCCCCUUGCUCCUUUAUAUACGGGGUAGGGGGGCACCCCAUGACACACAAGUUAAUCUACGGAUCGUUCCUUAUCCGUGUGCGGUGCCCCCUCCACCAUAUUCCACCUCGGUCAUAUCAUCGCGGAGUUUAGGCGAAGCCCUACGUCGGUAGAGCAUCAUCAUCGUCACCACGCCGUCGUGCUGACGGAACUCAUCCCUGACACUUUGCUGGAUCGGAGUCCGGGGAUCGUCAUCGAGCUGAACGUGUGCUGAACUCGGAGGUGCCGUACAUUCGGUACUUGGAUCGGUCGGAUCGUGAAGACGUACGACUACAUUAACCGCGUUGUCAUAACGCUUUCGCUUACGGUCUACGAGGGUACGUGGACAACACUCUCCCCUUUCGUUGCUAUGCCAUCACCAUGAUCUUGCGUGUGCGUAGGGAAUUUUUGAAAUUACUACGUUCCCCAACAGUGGCAUCAGAGCCUAGGUUUUAUGCGUUGAUGUUAUAUGCACGAGUAGAACACAAGUGAGUUGUAGGCGAUACAAGUCAUACUGCUUACCAACAUGUCAUACUUUGGUUCGGCGGUAUUGUUGGAUGAAGCGGCCCGGACCGACAUUACGCGUACGCUUACGCGAGACUGGUUCUACCAACGUGUUUUGCACACAGGUGGCUGGCGGGUGUCAAUUUCUCCAACUUUAGUUGAACCGAGUGUGGCUACGCCCGGUCCUUGCGAAGGUUAAAACAACACUAACUUGAUGAACUAUCGUUGUGGUUAUGAUGCGUAGGUAAGAACGGUUCUUGCUAAGCCCGUAGCAGCCACGUAAAACUUGCAACAACAAAGUAGAGGACAUCUAACUUGUUUUUGCAGGGCAUGUUGUGAUAUGAUAUGGUCAAGACGUGAUGCUAUAUUUUAUUGUAUGAGAUGAUCAUGUUUUGUAACCGAGUUAUCGGUAACUGGCAGGAGCCAUAUAGUUGUCGCUUUAUUGUAUGAAAUGCAAACGCCCUGUAAUUGCUUUACUUUAUCCCUAAGUGGUAGCGAUAGUCGUAAAAGCAAUAGUUGGCGAGACGACAACAAUGCUACGAUGGAGAUCAAGGUGUCGCGCCGGUGACGAUGGUGAUCAUGACGGUGCUCUGGAGAUGGAGAUCACAAGCACAAGAUGAUGAUGGCCAUAUCAUAUCACUUAUAUUGAUUGCAUGUGAUGUUUAUCCUUUAUGCAUUUUAUCUUGCUUUGAUUGACGGUAGCAUUUUAAGAUGAUCUCUCACUAAUUAUCAAGAAGUGUUCUCCCUGAGUAUGCACCGUUGCCAAAGUUCGUCGUGCCCAGACACCACGUGAUGAUCGGGUGUGAUAAGCUCUACGUCCAUCUACAACGGGUGCAAGCCAGUUUUGCACACGCAGAAUACUCAGGUUAAACUUGACGAGCCUAGCAUAUGCAGAUAUGGCCUCGGAACACGGAGACCGAAAGGUCGAGCGUGAAUCAUAUAGUAGAUAUGAUCAAUAUAGUGAUGUUCACCAUUGAAAACUACUCCAUCUCACGUGAUGAUCGGUUAUGGUUUAGUUGAUUUGGAUCACGUGAUCACUUAGAAGAUUAGAGGGAUGUCUUUCUAAGUGGGAGUUCUUAAGUAAUAUGAUUAAUUGAACUUUAAUUUAUCAUGAACUUAGUCCUGGUAGUAUUUUGCAAAUUAUGUUGUAGAUCAAUAGCUUGCGUUGUUGCUUUCAUAUGUUUAUUUUUAUAUGUGUUCCUAGAGAAAACUAUGUUGAAAGAUGUUAGUAGCAAUGAUGUGGAUUGGAUCCGUGAUCUGAGGUUUAUCCUCAUUGCUGCACAAAAGAAUUAUGUUCUUGAUGCACCGCUAGGUGACAGACCUAUUGCAGGAUCAGAUGCAGACGUUAUGAACGUUUGGCUAGCUCAAUAUGAUGACUACUUGAUAGUUUAGUGCACCAUGAUUAACGACUUAGAAUCGGGACUUCAAAAACGUUUUGAACGUCAUGGACCAUAUGAGAUGUUCCAGGAGUUGAAGUUAAUAUUUCAAGCAAAUACCCGAGUUGAGAGAUAUGAAGUCUCCAACAAGUUCUAUAGCUAAAAGAUGGAGGAGAAUCGCUCAACUAGUGAGCAUGUGCUCAGAUUGUCUGGAUACUACAAUCGCUUGAAUCAAGUGGGAGUUAAUCUUCCAGAUAAGAUAUUGAUUGACAGAAUUCUCUAGUCACCAUCACCAAGUUAGUAGAACUUCGUGAUGAACUAUAGUAUGCAAGGGAUGACGGAAACGAUUCCCAAGCUCUUCGUGAUACUGAAAUCGAUGAAGGUAGAAAUCAAGAAAAGCAUCAAGUGUUGAUGGUUGACAAGACCACUAGUUUCAAAAAAAGGGCAAAUGGAAGAAGUGGAACUUCAAGAAGAACGGCAAGCAAGUUGCUGCUCAAGUGAAGAAGCCCAAGUCUGGUCCUAAGCUUGAGACUAAGUGCUUCUACUGCAGAGGGACUAGUCACUGGAAGUGGAACUGCCCCAAGUAUUUGGCGGAUAAGAAGGAUGGCAAAAGUGAACAAAGGUAUAUUGGAUAUACAUGUUAUUGAUGUGUAUUUUACUAAGUGUUUAUAGCAACCCCUCGGCAUUUUGAUACUGGUUCAGUUGCUAAGAGUAGUAACUCGAAACGGGAGUUGCAGAAUAAACAGAAAAUAGUAAAAAGGCGAGGUGACGAUGUGUGUUGGAAGUAGUUCCAAGAUUGAUAUGAUCAUCAUCGCACACUCCCUAUACUUUCGGGAUUAGUGUUGAAACUAAAUAAGUGUUAUUUUGUGUUUGCGUUGAGCAUGAAUAUGAUUUGAUCAUGUUUAUUGCAAUACGGUUAUUCAUUUAAGUAAGAGAAUAAAUUGUUUUUCUGUUUACAUGAAUAAAACCUUAUAUGGUUACACACCCAAUGAAAAUGGUUCGUUGGAUCUCGAUCGUAGUGAUACACAUAUUCAUAAUAUUGAAACCAAAAGAUGCAAAGUUAAUAAUGAUAGUGCAACUUAUUUGUGGCACUGCAGUUUAGGUCAUAUUGGUGUAAAGCGCAUGAAGAAAUUCCAUGCUGAUGGGAUUUUGGAAUCACUUGAUUAUGAAUCACUUGAUGCUUGCGAACCAUGCCUUAUGGGCAAGAUGACUAAAGACUCCAUUCUCCGGAACAAUAGAGCGAGCAACUGACUUAUUGGAAAUAAUACAUACUGAUAUAUGCGAUCCGAUGAGUGUUGAGGCUCGCGGCAAGUAUCAUUAUUUUUUGACCUUCACAGAUGAUUUGAGCAGAUAUGGGUAUAUGUACUUAAUGAAACAUAAGUUUGAAACGUUUGAAAAGUUCAAAAAAUUUCAGAGUGAAGUUGAAAAUCAUCGUAACAAGAAAAUAAAAUUUCUACGAUCUGAUCGUGGAGGAGAAUAUUUGAGUUACGAGUUUGGUCUACAUUUGAAACAAUGCGGAAUAGUUUCGCAACUCACACCACCCGGAACACCACAGCGUAAUGGUGUGUCCGAACAUCAUAACCGUACUUUAUUGGAUAUUGUACAAUCUAUGAUGUUUCUUACCGAUUUACCACUAUCAUUUUGGGGUCAUGCAUUAAAGACAGCUGCAUUCACGUUAAAAAGGGGCACCACCUAAGUCCGUUGAGACGACACAAUAUGAACUAUGGUUUGGCAAGAAACCAAAGUUGUCGUUUCUUAAAGUUUGGGGUUGCGAUGCUUAUGUGAAAAAGUUUCAUCCUGAUAAGCUCAAACCCAAAUCGGAGAAAUGUGUCUUCAUAGGAUACCCAAAGGAGAAAGUUGGGUACACCUUCUAUCACAGAUCCGAAGGCAAGACAUUCGUUGCUAAGAAUGGAUCCUUCUAGAGAAGGAGUUUCUCUCGAAAGAAGUGAGCGGGAAGAAAGUAAAACUUGAUAAGGUAAUUGUACCUUCUCCCUUAUUGGAAAGUAGUUCAUCACAGAAAUCUGUUCCUGUGACUACUACACCAAUUAGUGAGGAAGCUAAUGAUGACGAUCAUGUAACUUUAGAUCAAGUUACUACUGAAUCUCGUAGGUAAACCAGAGUAAGAUCCACACCAGAGUGGUACGGCAAUCCUGUUCUGGAAGUCAUGCUACUAGAUCAUGAUGAACCUAUGAACUAUGAAGAAGCGAUGGUGAGCCCAGAUUCCGCAAAAUGGCUUGAGGCCAUGAAAUCUGAGAUGGGAUCCAUGUAUGAGAACAAAGUAUGGACUUUGGUUGACUUGCCCGAUGAUCGGCAGACCAUUGAGAUUAAAUGGUUUUUUAAGAGGAAGACAGACGCUGAUAGUAGUGUUACUAUCUACAAAGCUAGACUUGUCGAAAAAGGUUUUUGACAAAGUUCAAGGUGUUGACUACGAUGAGAUUUUCUCACUCGUAUCGAUGCUUAAAGUCUGUCCGAAUCAUGUUAGCAAUUGCCGCAUUUUAUGAAAUCUGGCAAAUGGAUAACAAAACUGCAAUCCUUAAUGGAUUUAUUAAAAAAAGAGUUGUAUAUGAUGCAGCCAGAAGGUUUUGUCAAUCCUAAAGGUGUUAACAAAAUGUACAAGCUCCAGCGAUCCAUCUAUGGACUGGUGCAAGCAUCUCGAAGUUGAAAUAUAUGCUUUGAUGAGUUGAUCAAAGCAUAUAGUUUUAUACAGACUUGCGGUGAAGCCUGUAUUUACAAGAAAGUGAGUGGGAGCACUACAACAUUUCUGAUAAGUAUAUGUCAAUGACAUAUUGUUGAUCAGAAAUAAUGUAGAAUUAUUCUGCAAAGCAUAAAGGAAUGUUUAAAAGGAGUUUUUUCAAAGAAAGACCUCGGAGAAGCUGCUUACAUAUUGAGCAUCAAGAUCUAUAGAGAUAGAUCAAGACGCUUGAUAAGUUUUUCAAUAAGUACAAACCUUGACAAGAUUUUUGAAGUAGCUCAAAAUGGAACAGUCAAAGAACGAGUUCUUGCCUGUGUUACAAGGUGUGAAAUUGAGUAAGACUCAAAACUCGACCACGGCAGAAGAUAGAAAGAGAAUGAAAGUCAUUCCCUAAGCCUCAGCCAUAGGUUCUAUAAAGUAUGUCAUGCUGUAUACCAGAUCUAUUGUAUACCCUACACUGUGUUAAGCAAGGGAGUACAAUAGUGAUCUAAGAGUAGAUCACUGGACAGCGGUCAAAAUUAUCCUUAGUGGAAUAAGGAAAUAUUUCUCGAUUAUGGAGGUGACAAAAGGUUCGUGUAAAAAGUUACGUCGAUGCAAGUUUUGACACAGAUCUGGAUGACUCUAAGUCUCGAUCUAGAUACAUAUUGAAAGUAGGAGCAAUUAGCUAGAGUAGCUCUGUGCAGAGCAUUGUAGACAUAGAAUUCGCAAAAUACUUACGGAUCUGUAUGUGACAGACCCGUUGACUAAAAUUAUCUCACAAGCAAACCAUGAUCACACCUUAGUACUCUUUGGGUGUUAAUCACAUAAGCGAUGUGAACUAGAUUACUGACUCUAGUAAACCCUUUGGGUGUAGGUCACAUGACGAUGUGAACUAUGGGUGUUCAUCACAUGGUGAUGUGAACUAUUAGUGUUGAAUCACAUGGCGAUGUGAAGUAGAUUAUUGACUCUAGUGCAAGUGGGAGACUGAAGGAAAUAUGCCCUAGAGGCAAUAAUAAAGUUAUUAUUUAUUUCCUUAUAUAUCAUGAUAAAUGUUUAUUAUUCAUGCUAGAAUUGUAUUAACCGGAAACAUAAUACAUGUGUGAAUACAUAGACAAACAUAGUGUCACUAGUAUGCCUCUACUUGACUAGCUCGUUGAAUCAAAGAUGGUUAAGUUUCCUAGCCAUAGACAUGAGUUGUCAUUUGAUUAAUGGGAUCACAUCAUUAGGAGAAUGAUGUGAUUGACUUGACCCAUUCCGUUAACUUAGCACUUGAUCGUUUAGUAUGUUGCUAUUGCUUUCUUCAUGACUUAUACAAAAUUCCUACAAUUAUGAGAUUGUGCAACUCCCGUUUACCGGAGGAACAUUUUGUGUGCUACCAAACGUCACAACGUAACUGGGUGAUUAUAAAGGUGCUCUACAGGUGUCUCCAAAGGUACAUGUUGAGUUGGCAUAAUUCGAGAUUAGGUUUUGUCACUCCGAUUGUCGAAGAGGUAUCUCUGGGCCCUCUCGGCAAUACUCAUCACUUAAGCCUUGCAAGCAUUGUAACUAAUGAGUUAGUUACGAAAUGAUGUAUUAUGGAACGAGUAAAGAGACUUGUCGGUAACGAGAUUGAACUAGGUAUUGGAUACCGACGAUCGAAUCUCGGGCAAGUAACAUACCGAUGACAAAAGGAACAACGUAUGUUGUUAUGCGGUUUGACCGAUAAAGAUCUUCGUAGAAUAUGUAGGAGCCAAUAUGAACAUCCAGAUUCCACUAUUGGUUAUUGACCGGAAAACAGUUCUAGGUCAUGUCUACAUAGUUCUCGAACCCGUAGGGUCCGCACGCUUAACGUUACGAUGACAGUUAUAUUAUGAGUUUAUGAGUUUUGAUGUACCGAAGGAGUUCAGAGUCCCUGAUGAGAUCGGGGACAUGGCGAGGAGUCUCGAAAUGGUCGAGACGUAAAGAUCGAUAUAUUGGACGACUAUAUUCGGGCUUCGGAAAGGUUCCGAGUGAUUCGGGUAUUUUUCGGAGUACCGGAGAGUUACGGGAAUUCGCCGGGAGAAGUAUUGGGCAUUAUUGGGCCAUACGGGAAAGAGAGAGGGGCUGCCUAGGGCAGGCCGCACGCCCCCCAAGGCCUAGUACGAAUUGGACUAGGGGGAGGGGCUGCACCCCCUCCUUCCUUCCCUUCUCUCCCUUUCCUUCUCUCCUACUCCUACUACAUGGAAGGUCUCCUAGUUGGACUAGGUCACCGGGAGUAGGACUCCUCCCUGGCGCGCCCUCCCUUGGCCGGCCGCCCCCUUCCCCUUGCUCCUUUAUAUACGGGGGCAGGGGCACCCCAUGACACACAAGUUGAUCUACGGAUCGUUCCUUAGCCGUGUGCGGUGCCCCCCUCCACCAUAUUCCACCUCGGUCAUAUCAUCGCGGAGUUUAGGCGAAGCUCUGCGCUGGUAGAGCAUCAUCAUUGUCACCACGCCGUCGUGCUGACGGAACUCAUCCCCGACACUUUGCUGGAUCGGAGUCCAGGGAUCGUCAUCGAGCUGAACGUGUGCUGAACUCGGAGGUGCCGUACGUUCGGUACUUGGAUCGGUCGGAUCGUGAAGACGUACGACUACAUCAACCGCGUUGUCAUAACGCUUCCGCUUACGGUCUACGAGGGUACGUGGACAACACUCUCCCCUCUUGUUGCUAUGCCAUCACCAUGAUCUUGCGUGUGCGUAGGGAAUUUUUGAAAUUACCAUGUUCCCCAACAACGACGUGUUUUUAAUUAUAUUUUAGUUGACAUGGAUUUCAUUUAUCUUGUGAAUUGUAUAGGCAGAUCAUGAAUUUUAAUGAUUGAUUGAUUUUCAUGGUCACAAGUAGGCAUGGUUGCAUGGCCACGGGGAGAAUGGAGCAAGUAGCGUGUGAGGAGUUUAAGAAAUGGGGACAAGGGAUAGUUUAGUUAAUUAAGUCUAUGUUAGUUUCAAGUUUUAUCCUUGUUGCGGUAAAAAAUUAAGGUUGGAUUAACCACCAUGUACAUCUUUAAUUACUUUUAAAUAAGAAAUAUAAUCAAAAUAUUCUGUUGAAAUCAUAAAAUUUAUAUAAUUUGUACAAGUACAUGAAGGUGGAACAGGAGGAAGAGUGGGAGAAGAUUAGGCCCCGUUUGGUAACAAAGUAUUUUCUAUGUAUUCCCAUAAUACUGCAGUUUUUUAUAAUACUGUAGUUUUUAUUACAAAGGGUUGUUUGGCUGUCUCUAAAAAUUGUAAUUUUAAUACUGCAGUUUUUG